ensembl:lncRNA
GGCAGACUGGUGGGAUGGGGAUGGGGUUGCCAAUGUAAGCAUUUCUCAGCGGGGCCAAGACGGUUUUAUUCUCACUGCAGGACACAAGGCGGGGGACAUCCUUACCAGAGUGCCAACCCAGCACAGAGCACGGACAAUGUGGGAAUGCCAAUCAGCCUCCAGUACAGGUCUUUGGACUGGGAGAGGAAACCGGAGUACCAGGAGGAAACCUCCGAAGCACGGGGAGAACAUGCACACUCGGGAUUCAAACCCCCAACCUCGGAGGUGCGAGGCUAACCACUAAGCAACCGAGUAUAUAAAACUAUCCUCCCAUAUAACUGUUAAAAAGUGAGAUCGAACACCAUUCAUUACUCCUGUUUUGAAGCAAAAGAUAAUUAUUAAAACAAAUAAAUAAAUCGAACGUAGAUAAACGGAAGAAAAGUGUGUAUUCUAGCGGUGCCACAAAGAUUCUGUCUUCAGUGAGGCUUAUUCAGUGAUGUAUAUUUUAUACGAUAGACCCGAGGGAAGUACUCCCCGCUCCGAAAUGGAAUACCGUACAUGGCACACUGAGUGGCCAUCAGCCAAUACAAACACUGUGUGUGUGUGUGUGUGUGUGUGUGUGUGUGUGUGUGUGUGUGUGUGUGUGUGUGUGUUUUCCACCAUCCCUAACUCCCACCGCAGUGUAUCCUGACCUAUAUAUCCUCACUGUCUGCCACGCUCGGAUACUUCACUGCAUCUCGUGAGCGUUAAUAGUGCGCUAAUCUCACCAGCAGUGCUCAGUCAGUAUUUCAGUCGAAUUCAUUAAUCAAUGAAUGAAUUGACGUAUUAUCCACCCAUUUCUCCGAGUGAGGGUUGGGUUUAAACAUGCUUUAUUAAAUCUACAGGGAACACAUUUAUAGCUUCUCGGAUGCGCUGUUGACCAUCAAACGUUUGGAUCAACGUCGAUUCGAAAUAAUUUAACGCAGCAUCGUUUCCUCACGGAGCGCCGACAGAAGGAGGCUGAUGAAAUCUGAAUCACCUAUUCUCAAAUUAAUAUUGAUAAAAAUAUACACACCCCCUGUCUUUUCUGCUUUUUUCGUGUCUCACGAAUCCUCCUCCGCAGUCGUUUAGUCAUCAGAGCCUUCUGGUCAUCCUUUUCCCUCUCGCGUCAACAGGAAACUGAUGUCCUUUUUAACCGUUUGCAGCCGUGUUUAAUGUUUCAUUGUGGAACGUCGGCGAUCAAAAAUAUCGGAACAUGCGACUGACGGGUGUUUUUUGUUACCCAGGUGUGUCCUUUCAUAUUGAUUGUUUAAACAAUAAAUAUCUCUGAAUAUCUGACUCUUGGUUUUAGUUUGUGAAGACUGCAUUAGUUGUUAAAAAGGGGACGCCAACAUGAAGAUCAGAGAGCUGUCUAUGGGAGAAAGGCAAGCCAUUUUGAAGCUGAGAAAAGAGGGUAAAGUCAAUCAGAGGCUGAUGAUGAUGAGCCAAAACACACUGCCAACUCAACAGAGGACUUUAUCAGGUGGGAAAACGUGGAAGGUUUUAACCAGACAUUAACCCGAUUGAGCAUGCAUUUCACAUCCUGAAGAGGAGACUGAAGGGAGAAACCCCCCGAAAACAAACAACAACUGAAAAAAUCUGUGGUAAACGCCCGGAAAAGCAUCAGAAAAGCAGAAACCAACAAUUUCAUGAUGUCAGUGAGUCGCAGGCUUGAAGCAGUUACUGCAAGCAAGGGAUAUGCAACCAAAUAUUACGUGUAAUUUACUUUCAUUUACUUCAAGACUGAUCUGUUCCAAUACUUUUGCCUGCCUAAAAAUUGGGUGGCUGAAAUCCUAAAAUCUCGUAUCAUAUCCAUCUUUUGAUCUCAAACCCAAGGUGCACAGCACAAACAAAUGAACUAGCCUCGCCGUUCCAAUAGUUGUGGAGGGGACUGUAUGCGCACUGUGAAACCAAACACCAAACCGAAAACGAACCAGCGGUAUCACUGUUCCUCUUGGCAAACGUAUGUGUGAAAGCACCGUGAUAAGUACAUGAUACUCUAUAACAAAGCAGGUAAUCCUAAUCCCCUAAGAUUUUCUGUACAAUACCAAACUCCCCAAAACAGCUUUCAGAUUCUGCCAGCAUCUUCAUAACAUGUUUUGUCUGUGGUGUGCCACGCUAAUGUGCUUACACUAGAUUGGGGCAAAGCCGACUGAUUAGGUGACGAUUAUAAAGUUCUGUUAUUUAGAUAUUUUGUUAUUAAUCUCCACAGUUUUUGCCAUAAUCUCUCUCUGUGAUCUCUAUAAUAAGAAAUCAUAAGCUCCAUGAGAUAACAGAGGAAAUCUGAUACUGAAGAUUUAUACCAGAAAUUUUACUCGUGUUCAUAAAUCACCAGGGUUUAUAAUUCAGUGGAAAAAAAAUAAAAGCACCUCAGAUAGAGGGAUGCUUUUAUUCUUGCCUUAGUGCAGAACUGCUAAAUAUUGCACGCUUAUUUAAAACCUGUCUGACAGCACAUCAGCCGGUGGCUAAUCUCUAGAGGCUUAUCUUAUACAGCAGCUGAACUGUGCUCAUCCAAAGCCAGGGACAUCAUCACCAUCAUCAUCAUCAUCAUCAUCAUCAUCUUAAUUGGCCCAAAACCCUAUGACAGGCAGCUAGGGACAGUGUGGGUUUUUAAAAUGAAGACUCAGCAUUCUUACAAGGAAAACAUCAAGCUUUAUUUUAUUUCAUUUUUCCUUUAUGACCCAAAUUUCCCUGAAACUACCUGCAUUGCAGUGGCAGCUAAGGGCCUCCAGGACGCCGCUCUAUUCAUUAUUUAGGCUUCAGUCGCCUUCCAUUCUCACUUUAUACCGCGUGAACAAACAAGGUCAGGCGUGUUUGGAAUGAAAGCACCAUCACUACUACCCCCGUCAACUCUCUGACCCUCACCCAGACUCAUAUACAUACCGAAGCUGAUGAUUUAAGACUGGACUUUGCUUGCUCUAGCACUAAGCAAAGCUGCCUUCUGUAGUUAUUCACUAUAAUUCUGCAAUUCUGUUAGCAAACAAUAAUUACAAUUAAAUUACAACUGUGCCAUUAAAAACAUUUAUGGACACAAACCAGUCAGCACUUUCCAGGCCAAAAAAACACAAUAUUAGCGUGAUAUCUACGUCCUCAUAACGGCACUGAAAGAAAACCAGCCCUAAAAACGCUAAAUAUGACAAUCACUGUGAUCAGGACCAUAACCAGAAUCCACAUUAUACUGAGGUUCAGGCUGCAGCAAAGUGACCCAUAUUUUUCACAUAGCAUGAUGAUGAAUGUGUAUUACACCACUUGCUAAUUUCUAAUCUCUGGCAUAUUACAGACCAUCAAUUUACUAACCCAGCUGAUAUUAAUUUGCACAGAUAGGAGGUAUAAUUACUUUCUAACUACUUAUGGAUCUCAGCCUUACCUUGCCUUGGAGAACUGCUUUUUC